CGGGAGGCAGCAGUGAGGAAUAUUGGUCAAUGGAGGCAACUCUGAACCAGCCAUGCCGCGUGAAGGAUGACGGCCCUAUGGGUUGUAAACUUCUUUUGAAUAGGAAGAAACUUAUCUACGUGUAGAUAACUGACGGUACUAUUAGAAUAAGGAUCGGCUAACUCCGUGCCAGCAGCCGCGGUAAUACGGAGGAUCCAAGCGUUAUCCGGAUUCAUUGGGUUUAAAGGGUCCGUAGGCGGGUCUUUAAGUCAGUGGUGAAAGCCGACAGCUCAACUGUCGAACUGCCAUUGAUACUGGAGACCUUGAGUACAAAUGAAGUAGGCGGAAUGAGUCAUGUAGCGGUGAAAUGCAUAGAUAUGACUCAGAACACCGAUUGCGAAGGCAGCUUACUAACAUGUAACUGACGCUGAGGGACGAAAGCGUGGGGAGCGAACAGGAUUAGAUACCCUGGUAGUCCACGCCGUAAACGAUCAUCACUCGCUGUUGGCGAUAUACUGUCAGCGGCCAAGCGAAAGUAUUAAGUGAUGCACCUGGGGAGUACGCCGGCAACGGUGAAACUCAAAUGAAUUG
rnacentral:rRNA from 1 species